rnacentral:rRNA from 1 species
UACAGAGGGGGCAAGCGUUGUUCGGAAUUACUGGGCGUAAAGCGUGCGCAGGCGGUCUUUUAAGUCAGAUGUGAAAUCCCCGGGCUUAACCUGGGAACUGCGUUUGAAACUGAAAGGCUAGGGUGUGGCAGAGGGGGGUGGAAUUCCACGUGUAGCAGUGAAAUGCGUAGAGAUGUGGAGGAACACCGAUGGCGAAGGCAGCCCCCUGGGCUAACACUGACGCUCAUGCACGAAAGCGUGGGGAGCAAACAGG